AUCCCAUGAUGAGGACAGGCGGCCACAUACUCCUGAAGUCGUUCCCAUGCUUCAGGAAUGGACAAGUCCCUUAUCUGCUGGAAACUUGAAAUUCGUCCACGAAGGGC
rnacentral:snoRNA from 1 species